UUCCAGACUCCUACGGGAGGCAGCAGUGAGGAAUAUUGGUCAAUGGGCGCGAGCCUGAACCAGCCAAGUAGCGUGAAGGAUGACUGCCCUACGGGUUGUAAACUUCUUUUAUAAAGGAAUAAAGUGAGGCACGUGUGCCUUUUUGUAUGUACUUUAUGAAUAAGGAUCGGCUAACUCCGUGCCAGCAGCCGCGGUAAUACGGAGGAUGCGAGCGUUAUCCGGAUUUAUUGGGUUUAAAGGGUGCGUAGGCGGAAUAUCAAGUCAGCGGUAAAAUUUCGGGGCUCAACCCCGUCGUGCCGUUGAAACUGACACCCUUGAGUGAGUGAGAAGUAAGCGGAAUGCGUGGUGCAGCGGUGAAAUGCAUAGAUAUCACGCAGAACUCCGAUUGCGAAGGCAGCAUACCGGCGCCCAACUGACGCUGAAGCACGAAAGCGUGGGUAUCGAACAGGAUUAGAUACCCUGGUAAC
rnacentral:rRNA from 1 species